rnacentral:rRNA from 1 species
AGCGGAGCGGCCGAUGACUGAUUAGCUAGUUGGUAAGGUAAAGGCUUACCAAGGCGACGAUCAGUAGCUGGUCUGAGAGGACGACCAGCCACACUGGGACUGAGACACGGCCCAGACUCCUACGGGAGGCAGCAGUGGGGAAUUUUGGACAAUGGGCGCAAGCCUGAUCCAGCUAUUCCGCGUGUGGGAAGACGGCCUUCGGGUUGUAAACCACUUUUGUAGAGAACGAAAAGUCUAUUGAUAAUACCGAUAGAUGAUGACGGUACUCUAAGAAUAAGCACCGGCUAACUACGUGCCAGCAGCCGCGGUAAUACGUAGGGUGCGAGCGUUAAUCGGAAUUACUGGGCGUAAAGGGUGUGCAGGUGGUUUUGCAAGAUGGAUGUGAAAGCCCCGGGCUUAACCUGGGAAAGCCAUACAUGACUGCAAGACUAGAGUGCGUUAGAGGGGGGUGGAAUUCCAAGUGUAGCAGUGAAAUGCGUAGAUAUUUGGAAGAACACCGAUGGCGAAGGCAGCCCCCUGGGACGCAACUGACGCUCAUACACGAAAGCGUGGGGAACAAACAGGAUUAGAUACCCUGGUAGUCCACGCCCU